rnacentral:lncRNA from 1 species
GAGAACCGAAAGCGCAAGUCAGGCUCACUGCACCUGCAUAUGGGGAAGCCAGAAAAACCUGUUCCAAACUUCUGAGACAUGACGGUACAUGAUGAAUCCUGUUUCUAUCCCAACUAACAUCUCUGCCCUUAGCUGGAGUAUCUGGUGCACUUAUAUUUAAUAAGUCAGAAGUCUUAAAUCAAUUUCACAUGGCUAAAGUCAAGGAGUUGGUAGACCUGCAUUACCUCUGGAGGCACUGGAGGUGACUCCAUUUCCUUGCAUUUUCCAGCUGCUAGAGACCACCUGCAUUCUUUAGCUCAUGGUCCCUUCACCUAUCUUCAGAGCCGGUAGCAUGGCAUUUUAAAAUCUCUCUGACCUCCACUUCUAAUUGAACAUCUCUCUCUGAUGCUGAUUCUUCAGUUUUUAUUUUGUUGUAACUCCCGUGAUUACACUGGGCCCACCCAGAUAAUCCAAAAUAAUCUCCUCAUCUCAAAACCCAUAACUUAAUUACAUC